AAACUUGAGAGUUUGAUCAUGGCUCAGAACGUACGCUGGCGGCACGCCUAACACAUGCAAGUCGAACGAAGUAGCAAUACUUAGUGGCAGACGGGUGAGUAACAUGUGGGUAUCUGCCCUUUGGCCUGGAAUAACACGAGGAAACUUGUGCUAAUACUGGAUAAGUCUUUACGGAGAAAGCUUUAUGCACCAUUGGAUGAGCCCGCACUUGAUUAGUUUGUUGGUGGGGUAAUGGCCUACCAAGACUGUGAUCAAUAGCUGAUUUGAGAGGAUGAUCAGCCACAUUGGGACUGAGACACGGCCCAAACUCCUACGGGAGGCAGCAGUGGGGAAUCUUGCACAAUGGAGGAAACUCUGAUGCAGCGAUGCCGCGUGAGUGAAGAAGGCCCUUGGGUUGUAAAGCUCUUUCGUCGGGGAAGAAAAUGACUGUACCCGAAUAAGAAGGUCCGGCUAACUUCGUGCCAGCAGCCGCGGUAAUACGAAGGGACCUAGCGUAGUUCGGAAUUACUGGGCUUAAAGAGUUCGUAGGUGGUUGAAAAAGUUAGUGGUGAAAUCCCAGAGCUUAACUCUGGAACUGCCAUUAAAACUUUUCAGCUAGAGUAUGAUAGAGGAAAGCAGAAUUUCUAGUGUAGAGGUGAAAUUCGUAGAUAUUAGAAAGAAUACCAAUUGCGAAGGCAGCUUUCUGGAUCAUUACUGACACUGAGGAACGAAAGCAUGGGUAGCGAAGAGGAUUAGAUACCCUCGUAGUCCAUGCCGUAAACGAUGUGUGUUAGACGUUGGAAAUUUAUUUUCAGUGUCGCAGCGAAAGCGAUAAACACACCGCCUGGGGAGUACGACCGCAAGGUUAAAACUCAAAUGAAUUGACGGGGACCCGCACAAGUAGUGGAGCAUGUGGUUUAAUUCGAAGAUACGCGCAGAACCUUACCAACACUUGACAUGUUCGUCGCGACUCUAAGAGAUUAGAGUUUUCGGUUCGGCCGGACGAAACACAGGUGCUGCAUGGCUGUCGUCAGCUCGUGUCGUGAGAUGUUGGGUUAAGUCCCGCAACGAGCGCAACCCUCACUUUUAGUUGCCAUCAUUAAGUUGGGCACUCUGAAAGAACUGCCAGUGAUAAGCUGGAGGAAGGUGGGGAUGACGUCAAGUCCUCAUGGCCCUUACGUGUUGGGCUACACACGUGCUACAAUGGUAUCUACAACAGGAAGCAAGACUGCGAGGUCAAGCAAAUCCUUAAAAGAUACCUCAGUUCGGAUUGCACUCUGCAACUCGAGUGCAUGAAGCUGGAAUUACUAGUAAUCGUGGAUCAGCGUGCCACGGUGAAUGCGUUCCCGGGUCUUGUACACACCGCCCGUCACACCAUGGGAGUUGGUUCUACCUUAAGGCAAGGUUUCAAACCCUUGACCACGGUAUAGUCAGCGACUGGGGUGAAGUCGUAACAAGGUAGCCGUAGGGGAACCUGCGGCUGGAUUACCUCCUUU
rnacentral:rRNA from 1 species